rnacentral:lncRNA from 1 species
AUGGAGCUAUGGAGGGAGGGGAGGAAAACAGGAAGUAAGAUGUGUUAUGCACGUGUACCAACUCCAAAAGGGAAUGGAAGCAUCGUGCUCUGCAAUCGUGUACCACUGAGAAAGAAGGAAAACAGCCCAGAGGCCCGGGCAUCCAGUCACCGGCUUUACACCAGGGGACUGAGGCUGCCAGCUGCUGGAGUAUUUGGUCUGGAGGAAGAAGUGCACAGUUCAGCUGGUCUCUGCACCCUGCGAAGUUCUCAGGAGGAGAUUCAGGCUGGCAGAGGCAUGGUGACCACCCCCAAAGGGAAGCUGGGGGAGAUGGAGGGGCGGGGCUUUGGGUUUAGGAAGUAAGUGCGCUCUGAGCCAGGACCCAUUCCCCUGUUCACCCUGAAAAGAAACAGCCUUCCCAGGUUGACUUUGCAGAGGCACCAAGAAUCUCAGCUUUGAUGCAGCAAUGGAUAAGAGAGGUUUAAUUAUUGAGGGAAAAGGCGUGUGUAUGUUGUACCUUGCCCUACAGUGUCAGUCCCUUCUCAAGAGCAUGCAUUCAUCCUGUUCUCUUUUUUACCCCCAAAUAACCUGCACCUUUAUCCCCCAGAUUAGAGAAGUCAUCCUCACCUCCCAGUCCCGAGUUCAAAUUGGCUGAAGCCUCCCUGCCCCAUCCCACCCUGUCCGUGGGAGCUGACAAGGUGUCUAGAGGCGGCUGUCUGGCUGUCCUGGGCCUCUGUGGGGCCUGAGGCUCUUGAGUUCCCAGCCAGGGCGAGACCUCAGGCUUCCACUUGCGCCUCCUGUUCUGAGUCAGCUUCAGAGGGAGAAGGUUUUUGCCUGUUCUGCCGUCACAGUCGCAACCCACCCCCGCCAGAAGUCUGGAAGGCUCCCCAGAAGGAGGAUUGAGUUCAAAGCCAGCCUGGGCUAUGGUGAGACUCUGUCCCAAAUGAAUGAACACAAAGCAAAGCAAAACAAUCAGAAAG